rnacentral:lncRNA from 1 species
CAAUAUAAGUUUGUGAAUGAUUUGAUACUUUGUACAAAAUUUUUCAAACUUGGCAUUGUUAAAUUGUCAGCCAUUGUUUGUGAUGAUUACUCGGGAUAGAUCAAAUUGAUAUAUAAUCAAUUUUCAUAGAAAAUCUAUAGUUUUUCUUUUUGUUAUUUGUGCCAAAAGCUCGACUUCCAUCCACUUAGUAAAGUAGUCGAUGGCAAUGAUAAUGAACUUUCUUUCUCUAC